AGCCACAGCCAUAUCACCCUGUAGCCCAAGAGAGGCUAACCACUGAAGCUAAGCAGGGCUGAGCCUGAUCAGUACCUGAAUGGGAGACCACAUGGGAAAACUAGGUUGCUGUUGGAA
ensembl:rRNA 5S_rRNA 5S ribosomal RNA